rnacentral:lncRNA from 1 species
UGGCAUAUGGAGGUUCCAGGCUAGGGGUUGAAUUGGAGCUACAGCUGCCAGCCUACACCAUAGCCACAGCAAUGCCAGAUCAGAGCUGUGUCUUAGACCUACACCACAGCUCACGGCAAAGCUGGAUCCUGAACCCACUGAGCGAGGCCAAGGAUCAGACCCACAACCUCACGGUUCCUAGUCAGAUUCGUUUCCACUGUGCCACAAUGGGAACUCCGUGUUCUUUUUUAAGAUCCCACAUGUAAGUGAUAGCAUAUGAUGUUGGUGUCUCACUGUCUGACUGACUUCACUUAGCAUGAUAAUUUCUAGGUCCAUCCAUGUUGCUGCACUUCCCUUUUAAUGGCUGAGUACUAUUCCACUGUGUGUAUGUACCACAUUGUCUUUAUCUACUCCUCUGUUGUGGACAUUUAGGGACUGAUCCCUGGCCACAGCUGUGACAACACCAGGUCCUUAACCCACUGAGCCACAAGGGAACUCCCCAAAAUAGCUAUUUUUAGAUGUAGACCCAUGUGUUGUAUUUUCCUUCAAUUGGUCUUUAUUACAAGAUCCAGUGUCUUGUAAGGGCAAGGCCCCGCCAGCCUAGACCAGGCCCACAUCCUGAGCUGCAGUCUGCAGUAAAGGCACAGCAACACAUGCGAAGGCCUCUACAACCCAACUUUAAAGCCUCGAUUGAUCUAUGAACACAGACAUCCAUCAGUACCUUUACUGAGAAGCUUCCUUUCUGACUCUUCCUUGGGAGAGUGUGGACUUUGAGUCCGAGGCUCUGCUUUGGCACCAAGCAGAGUCUGUCGGAUGCUGAGACUCUGGCGAGGGGUCUUUGGCAACUGCUCUGCUUUGCUGCUGAAAAAAAGGCACAUUUUUGCACCAAGUACAUAUUUCCCAUUCCCACCACCUUGCAGGCCUCGGGGCAGGGGACUCUUACCUCAUCAGACUGUUAUACUCUUUUAUUCUUCGACUGAUCAGAUCCCUGUUCGUAACUCCGGUGUCCUACAGAAGAAGCACAAAGUAAAAUUAGAAAGUCAAUUCUAAACCCAAAUAGGGAUUCUACUUUGGGGGAGGGGGCACUCUAUAUUGUACGACUACUUGUUUAAUAUUAUGGAGCUGUUUUAAAACCUCUGUUCAAACCCUGGGCCAACAACACCACAGGAACAAAUGUUCCAAGUGCCCCCCUGCUUCCAAAAGUUUUCUGUUUCUUUUCUGUAACCCUGCAAUACCUAGACUAGUACCAGCCAGUAGCCCGUGUUCCAACUUACUGAACUGAUCUGUCAUUUCAAAUAAGUGACUGGGAAGCAGAAAGCCAGUUUUUUUUUUGUCACUAAUACCAGAAAGAAUGAUCAGUGUUUCAAAAUAAUACAGGUGGAUAAAAAAAUACUGCCAAACUUUUUGAUUAAUUUGCAGAGCAGUGAGAUUGAGGAUCAAUUAGUAUCAAAGUGGCAGAUUAUCAGAAAAGAAAAGCUCAAAACUGGUUUUUUUUUUUAACCUCAACAGGUUAACUUUGAUAACAUGCUAAAUGGAAAACGCAGAGCUGACAUUAAAGGGAUGGCUUCUUAUCCCUAUUGAUUCCAAUUACACAUUGACAUCUGCCCUCAAUUUUUUUUCUCCUUGUCUCACUUUGAGCAUAAUGAACACUAUAAUUUAUAAAGAAUAGAGGCUUUGGAGUUGAACAAUCUCAAAUUCAAAUCAAUUCUUCUCCUUUACCCACUGAAAGAGUAUAUCGUUAAGAUCUAGAAUAAUCGCCUGGGUUUAAAUCCCAGCCCUGGCACUUCGGAGCUAUGUGACCUUGGGGAAAUUACUUAACCUCUCUGUUCCAAUUUCUGAUUGGAAAUUUGGUGGUGAUGAUUAAAGACACAUUCAUACAGUUGCUGAUAUUAACUGAUGUAAAAUGCUCACGAGAGUGCCUGCCCUAUGGUAUAUGCUCAGUGCAUUAUUCUUUAUCUAUAAAACUGGGUGAAAAUCCUUGUGUCUUGAAAUUAGAUAAUAACAAUGAUGCUACAUGGCUGACAUUAAAUCAGUGUUUAUGAUCUGCCAGGCACUAGGCUGCAUUCUUUGCAAGCAUUACCUCAUUCGGUCCUUAAACAGCCCUGUGUUUCAAAGAUGAAGUCAUCUACUGCCUAAGAGGACGCUUGGCACAUGGCGGGUGAUUAUUAAACAGGAACCUCUUUGAACUGUGACUUGAAGCUGAAAUCUACACCCAAGUUCUUAUUCUAUUUACUUUGCUUAAAUCCAGGUCUGAUGUCUCUUUAUAGCGGUGGUUGCAGGACAAAGGUUGUAUUGAUAUGGGCCUGGUAUUCAUUUUUAAUGACAAGGCAGAGUAUAAAUUAGUGGAGGAAAAAAAAGCACAGGCGUUUUUCC